rnacentral:rRNA from 1 species
UGAGUUUGAUCCUGGCUCAGAUUGAACGCUGGCGGCAUGCCUUACACAUGCAAGUCGAACGGCAGCACGGGUGCUUGCACCUGGUGGCGAGUGGCGAACGGGUGAGUAAUACAUCGGAACAUGUCCUGUAGUGGGGGAUAGCCCGGCGAAAGCCGGAUUAAUACCGCAUACGGUCUACGGAUGAAAGCGGGGGACCUUCGGGCCUCGCGCUAUAGGGUUGGCCGAUGGCUGAUUAGCUAGUUGGUGGGGUAAAGGCCUACCAAGGCGACGAUCAGUAGCUGGUCUGAGAGGACGACCAGCCACGCUGGGACUGAGACACGGCCCAGACUCCUACGGGAGGCAGCAGUGGGGAAUUUUGGACAAUGGGCGAAAGCCUGAUCCAGCAAUGCCGCGUGUGUGAAGAAGGCCUUCGGGUUGUAAAGCACUUUUGUCCGGAAAGAAAUCCUUGGCUCUAAUACAGUCGGGGGAUGACGGUACCGGAAGAAUAAGCACCGGCUAACUACGUGCCAGCAGCCGCGGUAAUACGUAGGGUGCGAGCGUUAAUCGGAAUUACUGGGCGUAAACCGUGCGCAGGCGGUUUGCUAAGACCGAUGUGAAAUCCCCGGGCUCAACCUGGGAACUGCAUUGGUGACUGGCAGGCUAAAUAAUGGCAGAAGGGGGUAAAAUUCCCCGUGUACCAUUGAAAUGCGUAAAGAUGUGGAAGGAUACCCAUGGCAAAAGGCCCCCCCCUGGGCCAAUACUGACCCUCCUGCACAAAAACCUGGGGAACCAACAGGAUUAGAUACCCUGGUAGUCCACGCCCUAAACGAUGUCAACUAGUGUUUGGGGAUUCAUUUCCUUAGUAACGUAGCUAACGCGUGAAGUUGACCGCCUGGGGAGUACGGUCGCAAGAUUAAAACUCAAAGGAAUUGACGGGGACCCGCACAAGCGGUGGAUGAUGUGGAUUAAUUCGAUGCAACGCGAAAAACCUUACCUACCCUUGACAUGGUCGGAAUCCUGCUGAGAGGCGGGAGUGCUCGAAAGAGAACCGGCGCACAGGUGCUGCAUGGCUGUCGUCAGCUCGUGUCGUGAGAUGUUGGGUUAAGUCCCGCAACGAGCGCAACCCUUGUCCUUAGUUGCUACGCAAGAGCACUCUAAGGAGACUGCCGGUGACAAACCGGAGGAAGGUGGGGAUGACGUCAAGUCCUCAUGGCCCUUAUGGGUAGGGCUUCACACGUCAUACAAUGGUCGGAACAGAGGGUUGCCAACCCGCGAGGGGGAGCUAAUCCCAGAAAACCGAUCGUAGUCCGGAUUGCACUCUGCAACUCGAGUGCAUGAAGCUGGAAUCGCUAGUAAUCGCGGAUCAGCAUGCCGCGGUGAAUACGUUCCCGGGUCUUGUACACACCGCCCGUCACACCAUGGGAGUGGGUUUUACCAGAAGUGGCUAGUCUAACCGCAAGGAGGACGGUCACCACGGUAGGAUUCAUGACUGGGGUGAAGUCGUAACAAGGUA